rnacentral:rRNA from 1 species
ACAGCAGUCGCCGCGGUAAUACGUAGGUCCCGAGCGUUGUCCGGACUUAUUGGGCGUAAAGCGAGCGCAGGCGGUUAGAUAAGUCUGAAGUUAAAGGCUGUGGCUUAACCAUAGUACGCUUUGGAAACUGUUUAACUUGAGUGCAAGAGGGGAGAGUGGAAUUCCAUGUGUAGCGGUGAAAUGCGUAGAUAUAUGGAGGAACACCGGUGGCGAAAGCGGCUCUCUGGCUUGUAACUGACGCUGAGGCUCGAAAGCGUGGGGAGCAAACAGGAUUAGAUACCCGAGUAGUCCCUGUCUCUUAUACA